rnacentral:ncRNA from 2 species
CGAGGCCGCGCGGGAGAGUCCCCGUCCACGACGCCGGUUGUCGUGCGUGGGGCGCCGAAGGAGCAAGUCCUCCCCGGAAUCUCUCAGGCAACCGUAACCGCGUGGGCGAG